GACGAACGCUGGCGGCGUGCCUAAUACAUGCAAGUCGAACGCAGUGGGGACGGGUGAGUACCCCGUGGGUAACCUCCCAUCAGAGGGGAUAACACUUGGAAACAGGUGCUAAACCGAUACUGAUGGAUGGCCCCGCGGGGCAUUAGCUAGUUGGUGAGGUAACGGCCCACCAAGGCCACGAGUCAUAGCCGACCUGAGAGGGUGAUCGGCCACACGGGGACGGGGACACGGCCCAGACUCCUGCGGGAGACAGCAGUAGGGAAUCAUCGUCAAUGGACGAAAGUCUGACCGAGCAACGCCGCGUGAGUGAAGAAGGUUUUCGGAUCGUAAAACUCUGUUGUUAGAGAAGCGGUAUCUAACCAGAAAGCCACGGCUAACUACGUGCCAGCAGCCGCGGUAAUAC
rnacentral:rRNA from 1 species